rnacentral:rRNA from 1 species
ACGUAGGGGGCAAGCGUUGUCCGGAUUUACUGGGCGUAAAGAGCUCGUAGGCGGUUUGUCGCGUCUGCCGUGAAAGUCCGGGGCUCAACUCCGGAUCUGCGGUGGGUACGGGCAGACUAGAGUGAUGUAGGGGAGACUGGAAUUCCUGGUGUAGCGGUGAAAUGCGCAGAUAUCAGGAGGAACACCGAUGGCGAAGGCAGGUCUCUGGGCAUUAACUGACGCUGAGACGCGAAAGCGUGGGGAGCAAACAGGA